AUCACGUUUCCUACACUAUAGUUUACAACAUUUAUUCCUGCUCAUGUUGCAGAGAAUGUACACAGUCACAUGUGUCAGUGGUGAUGGGACACAGCAGGACAUGUUGAGGACAGCUGCAUUUGACUGAUUCUGUGUGUUUGCAUAUGUGUCCUCCCUCUUUGUUCUUGGCCGUUAAGAGUCCAGUGUUGAUCAGUGAGUGUCCAGGUCUUUCAGAGACACUGACUCACUGGCAGCACAAUGAUGAUGAUGUGUGUGACUCUACUGCUGGUCACUCUGGAGCUCCUUGUUCAGGGUUCAUCAGGAGACAUCACCAUGACUCAGUCUCCUGGAUCUCUGUCUGCUGCUCCAGGACAGACUGUCUCUAUCAAAUGUAAAUCCAGUCAACUUAUAGGUGAUGAUGUUAACUGGUACCUGCAGAAACCUGCAGAACCUCCUAAACUCCUGAUUGCAGAUACAACAAGUCGUCAGUCUGGAGUUCCAGAUCGCUUCAGUGCAACUUAUCAUCAGACUGACUUCACACUGACCAUCAGAGAUGUUCAGACAGAAGAUGGAGGAGUUUAUUACUGUCAGCAGCACAACAGCUACCCGCUCACACAGUGAUAAAACGUCGUACAAAAACCUCCCUCAGCUGCAGAGGAACUGAUGUGACUCAACAGCUGCACACACACUAACAUAUCACAGCAGACGAUGAACAUCUUUCUCACACUGAACAUUUAAACAGUGCAGAG